AGCCCAUGGUGCGGGCAUCUUUGCAAAAGGUCUUUAUAUCUCUCCCAUGUAUCGUAGAGUGUUUCUAAAUCCAUCUACACAAAAGAAGAGAUAUCAUUACGUAAUUUU
rfam:Gossypium arboreum cultivar AKA8401 contig_2459_11, whole genome shotgun sequence.